rnacentral:rRNA from 1 species
GGGGAAUAUUGCGCAAUGGAGGAAACUCUGACGCAGCAACGCCGCGUGGGUGAUGAAGGCCUUCGGGUCGUAAAGCCCUGUCAGCAGGGAAGAAACUCCGGGAUUCGAAUAGGGUCUCGGAUUGACGGUACCUGCGGAGGAAGCACCGGCUAACUCCGUGCCAGCAGCCGCGGUAAAACGGAGGGUGCAAGCGUUGUUCGGAAUUACUGGGCGUAAAGCGCGUGCAGGUGGUUUUCUAAGUUUCGUGUGAAAUCCCAUGGCUUAACCAUGGAACUGCACGGAAAACUGGAAGACUUGAAUACGGGAGAAGAGGGCGGAAUUCCCAGUGUAGAGGUGAAAUUCGUAGAUAUUGGGAGGAACACCGGUGGCGAAAGCGGCUCUCUAGACCGAUAUUGACGCUCAUACGCGAGAGCGUGGGUAGCAAAC